GUUGCGUCCAAAUCUGUCAUAGUGCCAGACAGAAACCUGCAGGGUCCUGGUUUCCAGCUGAUUUUCAGUUGGGAUGAACAACACUUCCUUACCUACGCACAUUUCAGUGUUCAGACUCAUCUUUCUUCAUCCUCUUCA